rfam:Tetrapisispora phaffii CBS 4417 chromosome 11, complete genome
UGUGAAGGAUGAACUUAUUCUUUGGUCCGUGUUUAUGACGGGAAGUAAGACCCCCGGUAUGAGUGAGACAAAAAGAUGUGAUUAAUUUCAUGAUUUCUGACUAC